UCUUUGAAUUGCAUCUCAGACUUCACUGCAUCACAUCACGCCGACGACACGAUGAACUUGCCAUUUGAACUCGAUAAGGACAUGAGGAAACCGAAUGAGCAGGUAAAUGUCUCUCUUUACUAUUUUAGUCUCAAACUCUUACUGUAUGAAGCAUCCAAAAUACAAGUUGUGGCAAACUACUCGUAAGUUAUGUUUUGCCUGAUACAGGUGACUUGUGACACAGAAAAUGAAGAGAACAACACUUCCGCUGACACCCUGCUUCCUUCCUGCACCCACAGAACCACUUUUCACUCACAAUGUGUCAGUGUGUACCAACAAUGAAGCUGGAACAGAUGAAUACAUGGAGAGUGAGAAGCAUUUUGCAUUUGAACUUGAAGCAGAGCAAGAAAAACGACACUGUGAGAAGAAGGAGGAGGAAAGGAGACAAAUAGAAAGAGACUUCCAGAAGGAGCUGAAGAAGAUAAUGGAGGCCGAGAAGCUGCAUCAGAAGGAGUUUGAGUUGAUGGGGAAAAGAGCUCAGCAAAAACUUGAACAGGAGUUGCUGCUGCAACAGGAACUGAUCAGAAACUUACAGAGACGAGUGGAGGAAGAGAGGAGGAUGAGGGAAGAGGAGCAGAAGAGGAUAAAGGAUGAGGAGGACAAGAGGAAAAGGGAAGAGGAGAAAAUCAAGAUAGAGGCAGAGAGGAAAAGAAUGGAGGAAGAGACAAGGAGGAAGCAAGCGGAAGAGAGAAAAAUAGAAGAGAUAACACUUAAAAAAGAAGAGGAGAGAAAACAUAAGGAAGAGGAAAAGAGGAGAAUGGAAAGGGAGGAAAAGAGGAAGAGAGAAGAGGAAAGAAUCGAGAUUGAUUUGGAAAAGAACAAGCUAGAGGAUGGGAUGAGAAUGACAAAGGAGAAAGACGAGAGGAAAAGGGAGAAGGAAAGACAAGAGACAGAAGAGGCAAGGAAAAAGAUGGAGAAAGAGAAGAGAAAAAUGAAGGAAGAAAUUAGCCUGGAGGAGGAGGAGGAGGAGGAGAGAAAAACGAGCAAUAAAGAAGAUAUGAGAAUACAGGAGGAGGUGAGAAGAACUAAGGAGAUUGAGGAGAGAAAGAAGCAGGAUGAGAUGAGGACAAAUAAAGAAGAGCAGGAGGCUGAUGAUAGAAAAACGAUGGCUCAGGAAAAGCUUAAUGAAGAGAUGAGGAGGCGGGGUAAAAGUCAAGAUGAACAUGCAGAUGAAGAAAUAAAGUUUGUGGAGAGGAAAAAGAAGGAAGAAAAGGACAGGAAAAAAACAGAGGAGAAGAGGGAGGUGAAGGAAAUGGUAAGAGAAAAGGAAGGGGAAAACAGAAAACUUAAAGAAGAACUUAGACCCAUCGAAGAGGAUGUGGAGACGAAAACGGACUAUGAAAAGAAAACAAUAGAGGAAGAACAGAAGAGGAAGCAGAGGGACGAAGUGUAUUACAGAAUAAGGCUUAAAGAGGAUCAGGAGGGGUACAAAGGCUGUGAUGUGCACAACAGAAAGUUGGAAUGUGAGAGCAAAACAAAAGAAAAGAAACAGGAGGGGACGAGCAAAAGGGAGGAGGAGAUAAAAAAUGUGGAGAGAGAGAAGCAGCUGAAGGGAGAAUUUAUGGGAGAAACUGAGAAAGAGGUUCCCGAAAAAACAGAAAAAGAAAUGAGACUUAAAGUAAAGGAGGGGAGCCAAAAGAGAGUGGUGCACGACACGGAAAAGGACGUAAGAGCAAAUGAGCUGCAAGAGAAAAGAGAAAAUAACAGCACGAAAUAAAGAUAAAACAGAAAACUCCCUGGUCUCACAACUACAAGACAGCACCUGGACUUCCUCAAGCCCUGGUCCUUUAUACAGUGAGUCUACAGUCAGGCCCCCCAGUACUGAAACCAUACCAGAACAACAACAUGACCCAGAAGAGAACAUCAGUCAGACUUCCCUAGAUAAAACUGUGGACUGCGAAAAUCAAGCAGCAAGGCCUUCUCCUCUGUUUUUACCCGUGUGCCUCCCAGUGCACACAGAGAAGAAGAGGCUGUCAUGGAUGAAAGACUGCAUCCCCUGGUCCAAACUCUCCCUCCAGAACAAGAGGAAGCAGAAAGGAUCCGUCCGGAGUCGGAGAGGGCUGCGAGGCGCUGCCGAGGCCAGCAGUCUGCCACCUCUCUGCCCAGACACUUUGCUUCAGUUCACAGGCAGGAAAUCCCUGCAAGAGGUAAGAUUUGUACAAAUGCUCGGCCAUGAUACAGACACACUGACAAUACCAUUUGUGAAAGAUGAAGUUGUUU
rnacentral:lncRNA from 1 species